CCGCACAUGACAGGUUUAUUGACAAAGGCUGAACGUCACCAGCCUCAUCAGCUUUUCUUACAUUUUAUGGGAAGGUUUUUACAUCAUCACCGCAGUUGUCCCCAGCUGUUAUUUCUGUAGAAACAAAUUCGUCAGCCACAGGUGCUGGAGUAUUUCAUUGUCCUGGCACCCGACUAACCCACACGGCAGCUCGCACGGUCCCAGUCCACAUGAGUGCAAUUGCCAUGUUGAUGUCAACAAGCAGUGACUGAACCACCCCGGAGCAGACGGCGGGCGCUCCACAGAGGGGCCUUCCUGCUGCUCCGGGCCGAGCGCUGCUGCUCCUCGUGGGCCUGGUGAGGCCGCACAGCGCCAUUGCUGCCAUCCUGGAAGAUGGAGGACGCUCAGGCGUGCACCAGAGCAGCAUGUUUUCCUUCUCCUCUUUAACUCGGCGGUGCGCUAGCUAGCUCAGACCGUGGGCACAGAGGACACACCGCGACGUCCAGCUCAGACCCACCAGCACCUUGCAUCUCCAGCGUCAGUUCCCCCACGGUGGCAGAUUUGCUUUAGGGUUCCUGUGUAACUGAGGCGCUUCACCCACAGUGGCCUCUCCGUGUGGCUUUCCUGGUCGACGGUGUCAGAAAUGUUUCCUGCAGCGGCAGGCAGGUGCAGCGGCAGGCAGGGUUGGCGGGGAGGAGCUGGGUGACAGGCUGGUCACCGCUGGCCUUUGGACCCUGCGGGGCGAGCGCUUUGGGAUUGUAGCAAUUCUGUGUGAGGAGUGCAAGGUGACCAGUCGUGAGGUUUCCUAAGCAGCCCCAGGGUGACCAGGCAAGCGUGACCCUCGCGAGGCCCCGAGGAGCCAGAAGCCACAUCUGACCGCAGUUUAGAGACAUGACGUGGCCCGUGAGGGGGUGGGCAUGGCGGAAAGACUGCUUGCAGGGAGCGGCCCCAGGCUGCGUCCGCUGCAGGAGGUGCACGCUGAUGAAGACGUUCUCCGGCAGCCAGCAGACGAAGAAGACCAGCACCACCGCGAGGAUCAUGCGGAGCGCCUUCUGCCGCCGGGGCCGCAGCCCACGGUGCCGGUGCGCCCUGACCAGCACCCGGACAAUGAGGGAGUAGCACAGGCCGAUGAUGGCGAAGGGCACGAUGAAGCCCAGCGUGACCUCGAGCCACUGCACCUCCCGGACAUCCGCGAAACAGAAGCAGGCCUCGUCGGUGUGCUGCAGGUGCACGGCGGUGAAGGGCACCAGCGUGGCUGACACGGAUGCCAUCCAGAUGAGGCCACAGCUCAGCCGGGCGUGGUGCUUGGUGCGGAACAGGCUGCAGCGCAUGGCCCUGGCCAGGGCGAUGUAGCGGUCGAAGCUCAUCCAGGUGAGGAAGAAGACGCUGCUGUACAUGUUGACCUGCAGGAAGAGCGACAUGAAGGUGCACAGGACGGCGAUGUCGUAGUACCGCUCGUGCAGGUUGAACACCUCAAUGAGGGAGUCGGCCACCAGGAUGAGGUCCGCCACCGCCAGGUUGAUGAAGUACAGGUCGGGGAUGGUCAUCUUCUCGCGGAAGCUGAUGUUCACCACCAGGAUCAGGAUGUUGCCCACAAAGCCGAUGGGGAAGAGGAAGAUGGUGUAGAGGCACGAGAGGAACAGGCCGAUCACGUACUGCUGGUGCUCCGAGAGCUCACCUGUCCCAUUGGCCAGGGCGGUGCCCAGGAGCGGGUGGGACAGGUUGAGCUCGGGGGAGGUGGUGUUGGGGGCCGCAGGCUGCGCGGUGCCUGGGUACAUCUCCAGGCCCACGCCCCGGGCUUGGGAAGUCACAUCCAUGUCUCUGCACCGUGCAGCUUUCAAGAUUUGCCGAAAGGCUCCCAGAGCUCUGUUUUAAAUGGUGAAUCCAUCUUUAGAAAGAAGCGUGAUUCUCCUUGAAG
rnacentral:lncRNA from 1 species